rnacentral:rRNA from 1 species
GACGAACGCUGGCGGCGUGCCUAAUACAUGCAAGUUGAGCGAUGAAGAUUGGUGCUUGCACCAAUUUGAAGAGCAGCGAACGGGUGAGUAACGCGUGGGGAAUCUGCCUUUGAGCGGGGGACAACAUUUGGAAACGAAUGCUAAUACCGCAUAACAACUUUAAACAUAAGUUUUAAGUUUGAAAGAUGCAAUUGCAUCACUCAAAGAUGAUCCCGCGUUGUAUUAGCUAGUUGGUGAGGUAAAGGCUCACCAAGGCGAUGAUACAUAGCCGACCUGAGAGGGGGAUCGGCCACAUUGGGAAUGAAACACGGCCCAAACUCCUACGGGAGGCAGCAGUAGGGAAUCUUCGGCAAUGGACGGAAGUCUGACCGGGCAACGCCGCGGGAGUGAAGGAGGUUUUCGGAUCGUAAAACUCUGUUGGUAGAGAAGAACGUUGGGGGGAGUGGAAAGCUCAUCAAGUGACGGUAACUACCCAGAAAGGGACGGCUAACUACGUG